AGAGCGAACGCUGGCGGCAUGCUUAACACAUGCAAGUCGCACGGGCAGCAAUGUCAGUGGCGGACGGGUGAGUAACGCGUAGGUAUCUAUCCUUGGGUGGGGGACAACGGCUGGAAACGGCUGCUAAUACCGCAUGAUAACUGAGGUUUAAAGGCGCAAGUCGCCUGGGGAGGAGCCUGCGUACGAUUAGCUAGUUGGUGGGGUAAAGGCCUACCAAGGCAACGAUCGUUAGCUGGUCUGAGAGGAUGAUCAGCCACAUUGGGACUGAGACACGGCCCAAACUCCUACGGGAGGCAGCAGUGGGGAAUAUUGGACAAUGGGCGAAAGCCUGAUCCAGCAAUGCCGCGUGUGUGAAGAAGGUCUUCGGAUUGUAAAGCACUUUCGACAGGGACGAUGAUGACGGUACCUGUAGAAGAAGCCCGGCUAACUUCGCGCCAGCAGCCGC
rnacentral:rRNA from 1 species